CCUACGGGAGGCAGCAGUGGGGAAUAUUGGGCAAUGGGCGCAAGCCUGACCCAGCAACGCCGCGUGAAGGAAGAAGGCUUUCGGGUUGUAAACUUCUUUUCUCAGGGACGAAGCAAGUGACGGUACCUGAGGAAUAAGCCACUGCUAACUACGUGCCAGCAGCCGCGGUAAUACGUAGGUGGCAAGCGUUAUCCGGAUUUCCUGGGUGUAAAGGGAGUGUAGGCGGGACUGCAAGUCAGAUGUGAAAACCACGGGCUCAACCUGUGGCCUGCAUGUGAAACUGGAGUUCUUGAGUACAGGAAGGGCUGACGGAAUUCAUGGUGUAGCGGUGAAAUGCGUAGAUAGUAGGAGGAACACCAGUGGCGAAGGCGGUCUUCUGGGCAGCAACUGACGCUGAGGCGCGAAAGCGUGGGGAGCAAACAGGAUUAGAUACCCCAGUAGUC
rnacentral:rRNA from 1 species